GAUGAACGCUGGCGGCGUGCUUAACACAUGCAAGUCGAGCGGUGAAGGCGGAGCUUGCUCUGCUGGAUCAGUGGCGAACGGGUGAGUAACACGUGAGCAAUCUGCCCCUGACUCUGGGAUAAGCUCUGGAAACGGCGUCUAAUACUGGAUACGAGCUGCGAAGGCAUCUUCAGCAGCGGGAAAGAAUUUCGGUCAGGGAUGAGCUCGCGGCCUAUCAGCUUGUUGGUGAGGUAAUGGCUCACCAAGGCGUCGAUGGGUAGCCGGCCUGAGAGGGUGACCGGCCACACUGGGACUGAGACACGGCCCAGACUCCUACGGGAGGCAGCAGUGGGGAAUAUUGCACAAUGGGCGAAAGCCUGAUGCAGCAACGCCGCGUGAGGGACGACGGCCUUCGGGUUGUAAACCUCUUUUAGCAGGGAAGAAGCGAAAGUGACGGUACCUGCAGAAAAAGCGCCGGCUAACUACGUG
rnacentral:rRNA from 1 species